rnacentral:rRNA from 1 species
AUUGAACGCUGGCGGCAUGCCUUACACAUGCAAGUCGAACGGUAACAGGUCUUCGGAUGCUGACGAGUGGCGAACGGGUGAGUAAUACAUCGGAACGUGCCUAGUAGUGGGGGAUAACUACUCGAAAGAGUGGCUAAUACCGCAUGAGAUCUACGGAUGAAAGCAGGGGAUCGCAAGACCUUGUGCUACUAGAGCGGCCGGUGGCAGAUUAGGUAGUUGGUGGGAUAAAAGCUUACCAAGCCGACGAUCUGUAGCUGGUCUGAGAGGACGAUCAGCCUCACUGUGACGGAGACACGGCCCAGACUCCGACGGGAGGCAUCAGUGGGGAAGUUUGGACAAUGGGCGCAAGCCUGAUCCAGCAAUGCCGAGUGCAGGAUGAAGGCCUUCGGGUUGUAAACUGCUUUUGUACGGAACGAAAAGCCCCGGGUUAAUACCCUGGGGUCAUGACGGUACCGUAAGAAUAAGCACCGGCUAACUACGUGCCAGCCGCCGCAGUAA